GAUGAACGCUGGCGGCGUGCCUAAUACAUGCAAGUCGAGCGAACGGACGAGAAGCUUGCUUCUCUGAUGUUAGCGGCGGACGGGUGAGUAACACGUGGAUAACCUACCUAUAAGACUGGGAUAACUUCGGGAAACCGGAGCUAAUACCGGAUAAUAUUUUGAACCGCAUGGUUCAAAAGUGAAAGACGGUCUUGCUGUCACUUAUAGAUGGAUCCGCGCUGCAUUAGCUAGUUGGUAAGGUAACGGCUUACCAAGGCAACGAUGCAUAGCCGACCUGAGAGGAGGACCAGAGACACUGGGACUGAGACACGGACGAGAAUCCGACGGGAGGCAGCAGCGGGGGUUAGUGGACAAUGGGCGAAAUCCAGACCCAGAAAUGCCGAGUGAAGGAAGAAGAACUUAGGAUUUUAAACCGCGUUUGGCAUAAACGAAACGAUGGCCGCGAAUACCGGCAGAUAAUGACGGGAGCUAAAGAAUAAGCACCGGCUAACUACGUG
rnacentral:rRNA from 1 species